rnacentral:rRNA from 1 species
CCUACGGGUGGCUGCAGUGGGGAAUAUUGGACAAUGGGGGGAACCCUGAUCCAGCCAUGCCGCGUGUGUGAAGAAGGCUCUCGGGUUGUAAAGCACUUUCAGUGAGGAAGAACGCCUGGUGGUUAAUACCCAUCAGGAAAGACAUCACUCACAGAAGAAGCACCGGCUAACUCCGUGCCAGCAGCCGCGGUAAUACGGAGGUUGCGAGCGUUAAUCGGAAUUACUGGGCGUAAAGCGCGCGUAGGUGGCUUGAUAAGCCGGUUGUGAAAGCCCCGGGCUCAACCGGGGAACGGCAUCCGGAACUGUCAAGCUAGAGUGCAGAAGAGGAAGGUAGAAUUCCCGGUGUAGCGGUGAAAUGCGUAGAGAUCGGGAGGAAUACCAGUGGCGAAGGCGGCCUUCUGGACUGACACUGACACUGAGGUGCGAAAGCGUGGGUAGCAAACAGGAUUAGAUACCCGGGUAGUC